AUUGAACGCUGGCGGCAGGCCUAACACAUGCAAGUCGAACGAGUGGCGGACGGGUGAGUAAUGUCUGGGAAACUGCCUGAUGGAGGGGGAUAACUACUGGAAACGGUAGCUAAUACCGCAUACCAUCGGAUGUGCCCAGAUGGGUUUCGCUAGUAGGUGGGGCAAAGGCUCACCUAGGCGACGAUCCCUAGCUGGUCUGAGAGGAUGACCAGCAACACUGGAACUGAGAGACGGUUCAGUGUCCAACGUGAGGCAGCAGUGGGGAAGAUUGCACAAGGGGAGAAAGCCUGCUGCAGCCAUGCUGAGGGUAUGAAGAAGGCCUUCGGGUUGUAAAGUACUUUCAGCGGGGAGGCGUUAGCAGGAGAAGAAGCACCGGCUAACUCCGUGGCAGCAGCCGCGGUAAUAC
rnacentral:rRNA from 1 species